UUUAGUCUUGCUGAGUUUUUUUCGGUGCGUCACCAUGAAGCUCCAUGUUGCAUUCUUUCUGCUGGUCGCUGCUGUUGUGCUUCAAGAAGUGCAAGGCCAAAGGGAGCCUAUCGAGCCGUGUUUAACCUGGAUGAAGCCACAGCCCGUUUGUCCUGUUAACGAACGCUACACCUGCUGCAAAACUUGCUUCGAACAAACGUGUCGCUCAAGAAAUGUUGUUGUGAGAUGUGCUGGGCCCUGCAUUGGUGGAUGCAUUUGUAGAACUGGAUACAUACGUGCGAUUACCAAUGGACGGUGUAUUCCGACGUAUGCUUGUGGUAGACUGGAAAUCAUUUUUCCCUCGCUUGCCGCAAUUGAAGCUUGAAGUCAUGAGUUGAAUCUGGGAAGUUGUAAGUUGUAAGGUGUAAAGUAGUUCAAUAAACUAUUGAAGCUUCCUUUGUUAGCAAACGUGAAAAUAAAACCGAUGUUUAAAUUAAAAAA